rnacentral:rRNA from 1 species
UACGAAGGGGGCUAGCGUUGUUCGGAAUUACUGGGCGUAAAGCGCACGCAGGCGGACCAAUAAGUCAGGGGUGAAAUCCCGGGGCUCAACCUCGGAAUUGCCUUUAAAACUGGCGAUCUUGAGCAGGAGAGAGGCGAGUGGAAUUCCUAGUGUAGAGGUGAAAUUCGUAGAUAUUAGGAGGAACACCAGUGGCGAAGGCGACUCGCUGGCUUCUUGCUGACGCUUAGAUGCGAAAGCGUGGGGAGCAAACAGG